rnacentral:rRNA from 1 species
AACGGCCAUACCAUGCUGAAUAUACCGGUUCUCGUUAGAUCACCGAAGUCAAGCAUCGUUGGGCGCGAUCAGUACUUGGGUGGGUGACCACCUGGGAACACCGCGUGCCGUU